rnacentral:rRNA from 1 species
AGAGUUUGAUCCUCGCUCAGAUUGAACGCUGGCGGAAUGCUUUACACAUGCAAGUCGAACGGCAGCACGGGGGCAACCCCGGUGGCGAGUGGCGAAUGGGCCAGUAAUACAUCGGAACGUGCCCAGUCGUGGGGGAUAACUACGCGAAAGCGUAGCUAAUACCGCAUACGAUCUACGGAUGAAAGCGGGGGAUCGCAAGACCUCGCGCGAUUGGAGCGGCCGAUGGCAGAUUAGGUAGUUGGUGGGGUAAAGGCUCACCAAGCCUUCGAUCUGUAGCUGGUCUGAGAGGACGACCAGCCACACUGGGACUGAGACACGGCCCAGACUCCUACGGGAGGCAGCAGUGGGGAAUUUUGGACAAUGGGCGCAAGCCUGAUCCAGCCAUUCCGCGUGCAGGAUGAAGGCCCUCGGGUUGUAAACUGCUUUUGUACGGAACGAAAAGCCUUCCUCUAAUACAGGAGGGUCAUGACGGUACCGUAAGAAUAAGCACCGGCUAACUACGUGCCAGCAGCCGCGGUAAUACGUAGGGUGCAAGCGUUAAUCGGAAUUACUGGGCGUAAAGCGUGCGCAGGCGGUGAUGUAAGACAGAUGUGAAAUCCCCGGGCUCAACCUGGGAACUGCAUUUGUGACUGCAUCGCUGGAGUGCGGCAGAGGGGGAUGGAAUUCCGCGUGUAGCAGUGAAAUGCGUAGAUAUGCGGAGGAACACCGAUGGCGAAGGCAAUCCCCUGGGCCUGCACUGACGCUCAUGCACGAAAGCGUGGGGAGCAAACAGGAUUAGAUACCCUGGUAGUCCACGCCCCUAACGAU